CUGGAGGGAGGCGAGCGAUGGAGCGCUGAGGAGCUCAUUCUCGCGGGAUUUAUAGGCUCCGGCGAGCGUUGUUUGGUGGUUGAGGUGACGCCGCCGCGUCAGGCCCCACACAGCGCCCGACGCUCCGGGCGGGCAAUGUCGGGCAGCAGGCCCACGUGCUGUGCCCUCCUCUCCGCUGAAAGCGGCGGGGUUGCUGGGCGCCAUCACCUGACCCGAUGGACGCCUCUGCCCCGCAUCCCCGCGCAGACUCCCACAAAGACAGGUGGUGUCCAGGAGAAAGAUGUCUUGCUCCUUCUUUGGAUAAUAAAAAGCUUUGUGAAGCAAGCAUAAAAUCUAUUACUGUGGAUGAAAAUGGGGAGCCUUUUGCAGUUGUCCUGUAUCCAGAUUUUCAAGAAAAGAAAAUACCUCUUCAGAGACUUCAAGAAGUAAAAUCAACUAAAGACCACUCCAGAAGUCUUAUAUUUGAUGAUGAAGAUUUAGAAAAACCUUAUUUCCCAGAUCAAAAAAUUCCAUCAUUGGUUAGUGCUUUUCAAUUAUCGGAAGAUGGAGACUCAAUUCCUUAUACUAUUAAUAGGUACUUGCGAGAUUACCAAAGGGAGGGAGCUCAGUUUCUCUACAGACACUACAUCAAGGGAAGAGGAUGUAUUCUUGGUGAUGACAUGGGACUUGGAAAAACAAUACAGGUUAUUUCAUUUCUGGCUGCAGUUUUGCAUAAAAAGGGAACUCGUGAAGAUAUUGAAAAUAACAUGCCAGAGUUUUUACUAAAAAGUAUGAAAAAGGAGUCUUCUUCUACAGCCAGAAAGAUGUUCUUAAUAGUUGCUCCUCUCUCUGUCCUCUACAACUGGAAGGAUGAAUUGGAUACCUGGGGAUAUUUCAGAGUUACUGUUUUACAUGGUAGCAAAAAAGACAAUGAGCUGACUCGUUUAAAGCAAAGGAAAUGUGAAAUUGCUCUGACGACCUAUGAAACACUGCGCUUGUGUCUGGAGGAGCUUAACAGUUUGGAAUGGUCAGCUAUUAUUGUAGAUGAAGCUCAUAGAAUCAGGAAUCCAAAUGCUCGAGUUACAGAAGUUAUGAAGGCUGUGAAGUGUAAGGUCCGCAUUGGCCUCACUGGUACUAUCCUUCAGAACAACAUGAAGGAGCUGUGGUGUGUCAUGGACUGGGCUGUGCCAGGACUUUUAGGUAGCAGGAUUCACUUCAAGAAGCAAUUUUCUGACCCAGUGGAACAUGGCCAGAGACACACAGCAACAAAAAGAGAGCUUGCUACUGGCCGAAAAGCCAUGCACAGACUUGCCAA
rnacentral:lncRNA from 1 species